GACGAACGCUGGCGGCGUGCUUAACACAUGCAAGUCGAACGAUGAAGCCUAGCUUGCUAGGUGGAUUAGUGGCGAACGGGUGAGUAAUACGUGAGUAACCUACCUUUAACUCUGGGAUAAGCCCGGGAAACUGGGUCUAAUACCGGAUACGACCAAUCUCCGCAUGGGGUGUUGGUGGAAAGCGUUAUGUAGUGGUUAUAGAUGGGCUCACGGCCUAUCAGCUUGUUGGUGAGGUAACGGCUCACCAAGGCGACGACGGGUAGCCGGCCUGAGAGGGUGACCGGCCAGACUGGGACUGAGACACGGCCCAGACGCCUACGGGAGGCAGCAGUGGGGAAUAUUGCACAAUGGGCGCAAGCCUGAUGCAGCGACGCAGCGUGAGGGAUGACGGCCUUCGGGUUGUAAACCUCUGUUAGCAGGGAAGAAGAGAGAUUGACGGUACCUGCAGAGAAAGCGCCGGCUAACUACGUG
rnacentral:rRNA from 1 species